GAUGUAGCCAGAAGAGAAGUCUGGCACGGUCAGGAGGCGCCGCUCCCUGUCCCCGGGGCUCAGGUCAGCGGGGUCAGGGCCCCCGGGACCGCCGUCCGGCCCGCAGAGUCCGCGGGCGGCCAAAACAGCCCCCCUGUGCAGCACGUAGACGCUGAAGACGGCAGAAGGGAGGAGCACGGACACACUCUGGAUCAGCCAGAACCGCAGCUGGGACACCGGGGAGAAGAUGUCGUAGCAAACAUUGGCGCAUCCUGGCUGCAGGGUGUUACACACAAACCUCUCCUGCUCGUCCUGGUAUACGGGGGAGCCUGCCAAGAUGAUCACCACCAUCCUCAGCAGUAUCAUGAAGAUAAGCCAUACCUUCCCUAGAAAGGAGGAAGCAGGAAGGGCACCAUCACCAGCAUAUAAACACAUUUGCACCCAACACCAUGUCUUAAGUAUUUACAGGGUGGAGGCUGGAGAACUGAGAGGAAUACCAUACCUCUCUGAAAAUUUAAUGCGUCUGCAUCAAACUCAGAAAUAUUUAUUACUUUCUUAAAAAAAUAAACUAAACUUUGGAUCUGGCUUGAAAUACACAAGAGAAAUUACUAAUCUUUUACAAAUUAAACUUCAAGAAAAGGAUGAACAGGAAGAAAGUGUAAUCAAGGCAUUAAUCUCUCUUUAAUUUUUACUAUAUUGUUCCUUCUCCUGAUAAGGUAGCCAGAGAAGAGUUACACAAAGAUCCUCCUUCCUUUUGCUUCAGUCCUUCAGGCUCAGUACCUGAAUGUCAGCAAGAACAGGCCCCAGCAGAGAACACUCACAUCCAAGCCUUCCUUAAAUGAUGGUAGAGCUGUGGAGCGAUUAAAAGUAAAGCUUGAGCACACAGCUCCCUUUCUUCAUGCAAUAAACAGGCCAGGCAAAGUGAUGAAAACAAAAACACAAGAGCUUUGGAGCUGUUUCCUAUACUCACCCACAAUGGUCAUGUUGCAAUUGAAGGUGAUGAGAAGGAAUCCCAGCAGGUCCAAACGUUCCAUGCCUCCUAGCGUCACAGACUCAAGGUUGUUGGAGACAUCGGAAGCCUGUGUUCUCCAAGAAAGUGGAAAUUCUUUGCAGGAAUAAAUGUAUCUUCCCUACAAAAGACUUAAAGGUGAGAGCUGCAGAUAUAAAAGGAAAGCUUGGAGCCCAGGAACAGGGUAGGCAGUGGGCAAUUUUUCCAUCUCCAAGUUGAGACAGCCCUGAGCUGUCCUCUGAGGCAAAGCGUUCUUGACAACUGCAGUGACCAGAAGACAGCAGGAGUCGUCUCUCAUUGUGGGUUAUUCUUACCCUCUUGGGACAUUCCAGGCCCGUGGCAGUGCUCACAUGUCUCUACUGGGAGAGCCAGAUGCUUCAGGAUAUAAUAGAAGCUACUACAUUUAACCCAAGAAAGAAACAGUUCUGUUAACUGGCUAAGGAAAUUUUGCCACUAAAAAGGUGUUUUCUCCUUGCAAACAUUUCCAUAACCCCUUCACUUGUUAAAGAAGCAUUAAAAUAUUCAUGUUUUGUCUUCUCUAUGAAGCAUAAGCCAUCUUAACUCUGGCAUGCAAGGGUCUGGCCCUCAUUCUGAAUUCCUACACCAUGGAUAAAAGCAUAAGUCUGCAUCUCAGACAUGUGUCCCAACUUUAGGCUGUGACUCAGUGACUCUCUAGCUAUUUCCUGUUUGGGUGAGUGAUGAGAGCUUUUUACUUGGAUACAAAAGGCCUGGGUACAAAGCCUGGGGCAGCUACCUGGUCAGUGGGGGAAGUCACUGAAUCUCCCUACAUAUCCUCAUAAGGAUCAGGAUCCCUGCAUUAGGGAGAAUCAUGCUGUUUCAUUCAGGGUUUGUGGGAGGAAGACACAAAAUGAUGAUGUUGAGAGCACCUAGCAUGUAGUGGGUGUGCAACAACUCAAAUCACUGGAAUUUCCAUCCCUAACUGGCCCCCAACACCUUCAUAGAUUGCGUCUUCCUUUUGUCUCUUCCAGCCCCAUCUAGCCAGGGCUGCUCCCGUUGAAUCAGCUUAAUAAAUGUCCAUUAAAUUUGUAAUAAAGUAUCACCGUCUGGACCUGCUGACAUCAAUCACAGUUGCAUCAAAAUCCUCUCGUGGCUGUCACCUUUAUAGCUAGGAGGAACCCAUCUUGCAAGGCUGGGGAUCUAUCAUCAGGCUGGAAAUUGUGAACUUUAAAAGGAAUGAUUUCAAUUUUCCAUGAAAGCUAUUCUUUUAUUCCCAUCUUUUCUUCAUUUCUGAUCUAUUCUUGACUUUAGUAAUAUCCCUAAAAAGAUUCCCAGAAGAGGAGUACAACAAAGCUACUUUCAUCUUUAUUCACAUGACACAUUUCCACCCACAGAAAACAUUUUGACCCCCUUAAAAGGCACAGUAGUUUUGCUAUAUUUUAGUCAAAUGCUUCAACAUGAACAAUGAAAUUUAGAGAAAUUGUAGUUAAGUAAAAAAUAUUGAAAUAGCCAUGUGGUUCCAGUAUAAAAUAAAGGAAAAUAUCUUUGCUUCCUA